CCUACGGGAGGCAGCAGUAGGGAAUCUUCCACAAUGGACGAAAGUCUGAUGGAGCAACGCCGCGUGAGUGAAGAAGGGUUUCGGCUCGUAAAGCUCUGUUGGUAGUGAAGAAAGAUAGAGGUAGUAACUUGCCUUUAUUUGACGUUAAUUACUUAGAACGUCACGGCUAACUACGUGCCAGCAGCCGCGGUAAUACGUAGGUGGCAAGCGUUGUCCGGAUUUAUUGGGCGUAAAGCGAGGGCAGGGGGGUCAAUAAGUCUGAUGGGAAAUCCUUCGGCUCAACCGGAGAAUUGCAUACGAUACUGGUGAACUUGAGUGCAGAAGAGGAGAGUGGAAUUCCAUGUGUAGCGGUGGAAUGCGUAGAUAUAUGGAAGAACACCAGUGGCGAAGGCAGCUUGCUGGUCUGCAACUGACGCUGAGGCUCGAAAGCAUGGGUAGCGAACAGGAUUAGAUACCCGAGUAGUC
rnacentral:rRNA from 1 species